UACGAGUGCCCCGAGCGUUAUCCGGAAUCAUUGGGCGUAAAGAGCGUGUAGGCGGCUAGGUAGGUCCGUUGUGAAAACUCGAGGCUCAACCUCGAGACGUCGAUGGAAACCAUCUAGCUAGAGUCCGGAAGAGGAGAGUGGAAUUCCUGGUGUAGCGGUGAAAUGCGCAGAUAUCAGGAAGAACACCCGUGGCGAAGGCGGCUCUCUGGUACGUGACUGACGCUGAGACGCGAAAGCGUGGGGAGCGAACAGG
rnacentral:rRNA from 1 species